rnacentral:rRNA from 1 species
GACGAACGCUGGCGGCGUGCCUAACACAUGCAAGUCGAACGGAACUGUUUUGAAAGAUUUCUUCGGAAUGAAUUUGAUUUAGUUUAGUGGCGGACGGGUGAGUAACGCGUGAGUAACCUGCCUUCAAGAGGGGGAUAACAUUCUGAAAAGAAUGCUAAUACCGCAUGAUAUAUCGGAACCACAUGGUUUUGAUAUCAAAGAUUUUAUCGCUUGAAGAUGGACUCGCGUCCGAUUAGUUAGUUGGUGAGGUAACGGCUCACCAAGACCGCGAUCGGUAGCCGGACUGAGAGGUUGAACGGCCACAUUGGGACUGAGACACGGCCCAGACUCCUACGGGAGGCAGCAGUGGGGGAUAUUGCGCAAUGGGGGCAACCCUGACGCAGCAACGCCGCGUGAAGGAUGAAGGUUUUCGGAUUGUAAACUUCUUUUAUUAAGGACGAAAAAUGACGGUACUUAAUGAAUAAGCUCCGGCUA